rnacentral:rRNA from 1 species
GACGGAGGAUGCAAGCGUUAUCCGGAAUGAUUGGGCGUAAAGCGUCCGCAGGUGGCAGUUCAAGUCUGCUGUCAAAGACCGGGGCUUAACUUCGGAAAGGCAGUGGAAACUGAACAGCUAGAGUAUGGUAGGGGCAGAGGGAAUUCCUGGUGUAGCGGUGAAAUGCGUAGAGAUCAGGAAGAACAUCGGUGGCGAAGGCGGUCUGCUGGGCAGUUGCUGACACUGAGGCGCGACAGCGUGGGGAGCAAACAGG